CAAGUUAUGAUCCAAACAGUGGACAGGUAUCAAAUAACCGCUAAAACUGAAAAUAGCAAACGAAAAUAGAUUAAAGGCAAAGAUGAACUUAAAUCUAAAAACAGAAUAAAAUAGUAAAAUAAGCAAAAUAAACUAGAUAAUGCUCAAGUAUAAUUAUAGAAUAAUGUGCAUCAAAAGGCACUGAUCAUUCAUGCAUCCCAUUAACCACUCUCACUUC
rnacentral:lncRNA from 1 species